rnacentral:rRNA from 1 species
CCUGCCGGCGGGCACCGCUAUUGGAGUUCGCUUAAGCCAUGCGAGUCGAGAGGGGUAAGCCCUCGGCGCACUGCUCAGUAACACGCGGACAAUCUGCCCUCGAGACGGGGAUAAUCCCGGGAAACUGGGAAUAAUACCCGAUAGGUCUGGGAUGAUGGAAGGCUCCCUGGCCAAAAUCUUCCGGGGCUCGAAGAUGGGUCUGCGGCCUAUCAGGUCGUAGGGGGUUUUACGGACCCCCUAGCCGAAGACGGGUACGGGCUUUGGGAGAAGUCGCCCGGAGAUGGAUUCUGAGACACGAAUCCAGGUCCUACGGGACGCAGCAGGCGCGAAACCUCCACAAUGUGGGCAACCACGAUGGGGGAACUCCAAGUGCUUACACUUUUGUGUAAGCUGUUCUCGAGCCUAAAAAGCUCGAGAAGUAAGGGCCGGGUAAGACGGGUGCCAGCCGCCGCGGUAAUACCCGCGGCCCGAGUGGUGCUCAUUAUUAUUGAGCCUAAAGCGUCCGUAGCUGGCCGGGCAAAUCUCCGGGUAAAUCGGGCCGCUCAACGGUCCGAAUUCCGGA